GUUUCUGUAGUGUAGCGGUUAUCACGUGUGCUUCACACGCACAAGGUCCCCGGUUCGAUCCCGGGCGGAAACA
rnacentral:tRNA from 1 species